UACGAGUGCUUCGAGCGUUAUCCGGAAUCAUUGGGCGUAAAGGGUGCGUAGGUGGCGAUGUUAGUCUCUCGUAAAAUCUUUCGGCUCAACCGAGAGUCCGCGGGGGAAACGGCAUUGCUUGAGGACGGGAGAGGUUUCUGGAACUCAUAGUGUAGCGGUGAAAUGCGUUGAUAUUAUGGGGAACACCAAAAGCGAAGGCAAGAAACUGGUCCGCUCCUGACACUGAAGCACGAAAGCGUGGGUCGCGAAUGGG
rnacentral:rRNA from 1 species